GAUGAACGCUGGCGGCGUGCCUAAUACAUGCAAGUCGAGCGAAAAGACGAGGAGCUUGCUCCUCUGACGUUAGGGGCGGACGGGUGAGAAACGCGUGGAUCACCCCCCUAUAUGACUGGGAUCACUACGGGAAAGGGGCGCUUAUAGCGGAUGAUAUAUUGAACCGCGUGGGUCGAUAGUGAAAGACGGUGUUGGGGUCUGUUAUAGAGGGUUCUGCGCUGUAUUAGCUUGUUGGUAGGGUAACGGCUUACCAAGGCAACGAUGCGUAGGCGAACUGCGAGGGUGAUCGGCCACAUUGGAGGUGGAACACGGACCAGGCUCCUGCGGGAGGGAGCAGUCGGGUAUCUUACGCAAUAGGCGAAAACCUGGCGCAGUAGCGCCAAGUGAGAUAUAGAGAUGCCCGGAUCGUAAAACUCUGCUAUUAGUGGAAAACAAAUGUGUAAGUUAAUAUGGACGUCUUGACGGUACCUGAUCAGGAAGCCACGGCUAACUACGUG
rnacentral:rRNA from 1 species